rnacentral:tRNA from 1 species
GGUGUAGCCAAGAGGUAAGGCAUCGGAUUUUGAUUCCGACACGCGAAGGUUCGAUCCCUUCCUC